UGUAGGAAGAUAGUGGCUGAUAAAAUCCAAGAGAUAACCUCCCUCCUCUUCUUUUCCAGGACCAGAAUGUUGAAAGCUCUCUUGAUGGAAGAAUUAAUAGGCUCUAGCUGCUGACUCAUGAAACCCCUAAAGAAGAUCAAGUCAUCAUUAUUUAUUUCCUUCAGAUGAGCUACGAAGAAGUUUUCCAUAACCCAUUGGACUAUGAGUCAGCAUCAAGCUAGCAGUUUGUCAAAGUAACAGCUCCAAUUCAGAGAUCUCAACCACAGCCAAGAAGGAUAACUUGAUUUUUGCAUCACCAUCUUCCUUUCUGCAAAGUGAGUAUUAUUGCAGUUUGAGAGCAGAGAACAUUUUUUUUUCUAAACUGUGUUUUAUAGGACAUUACUGAUCUUUGAGAUGUUAAUGGGACCCUGUGAACAACAAUUUUGGAAAUUCUAGGUAAUUAGGUUUUCUCUUUGCAAGACUUCU
rnacentral:lncRNA from 1 species